rnacentral:rRNA from 1 species
GACGGAGGGGGCUAGCGUUGUUCGGAAUUACUGGGCGUAAAGCGCACGUAGGCGGCCUUUCAAGUCGGACGUGAAAGCCCCGGGCUUAACCCGGGAAUUGCGUUUGAUACUGGUGGGCUUGAGACCGGGAGAGGAUAGCGGAAUUCCCAGUGUAGAGGUGAAAUUCGUAGAUAUUGGGAAGAACACCAGUGGCGAAGGCGGCUAUCUGGACCGGUACUGACGCUGAGGUGCGAAAGCGUGGGGAGCAAACAGG